GCCCAUGUAGCUUAAAUCAAAGCAUAGCACUGAAAAUGCUAAAAUGGACCGUAAAAAGUUCCAUGGACA
rnacentral:tRNA from 1 species